AGGCGCGGGAACGUUGUUUCUAUGACAGCAGUACGAAUUCAUGUGUUAAAAAUGAAACUUGUGACAGGAUCGUGACAUGUGAUGAAAGUUGUCAUAAAAAUGCAACUUGUAAAAGGAACGAUUCUGGUCACUAUGCUUGUGUUUGCAAUGAUGGAUUUUGUGGAAGUGGUACACACUGCCAACCAAUAUGCAAUCGUUUCUCAACAGUUUCUUCAGCUGAGUGCAAGUGUCCUUGCCUGAAAAUGGUGUAUUUUGUAAUGUCAGCUCAACGACCGAUAAAAAAGCUCACAUUAAGGCAAAAGUGAAUGAUGACUUUGUAAAUUGUUUUUGUCAGAUAGGAGCCAUCAAGUUUUCUAGUCGUAAUUAUACGGCUAACGAAAGUGAUGAAAUGGUAAUGGUAAAGAUUGAGGUUGAUGGAUGCGCUGUUUUUCAAGAUAUCGUCGUGAAUGUAACUACACAAGAUCGCUCUGCUAAAAGUGAAGAAGAUUAUAUUCUUAAAACAUUCUCAGUCAAAUUUACUCCAAAUGACAGUGGUCCAAAAAUUGUAAAUAUUUCGUUGAAACAAGACAAUUUGUUAGAAAUGGAUGAGGAUUUCUAUGUCUUGUUGAAUGUGACAGAUGAAAGUGUCCAAAAGAAAACGGAUGCUGUAAAGAUAACUAUAAUCGAUUCCAGCAAUAUAGAUGCCAAUGUUUCUUUUGAAAA